rnacentral:lncRNA from 1 species
UGCAAUUUACCUAAGCAAAAAGUUUAUCGACUGUGAAACAAUACACUCACUGUUCGAGAAAACUUGAUGUACUUUGGCAUAGGCUGCUCGCCGACUGAGACAGUAUGCUGGUUCACACCACUACAAUACACUCACUGUUCGAGAAAACUUGAUGUACUUUGGCAUAGGCUGCUCGCCGACUGAGACAGUAUGCUGGUUCACAC